AUUGAACGCUGGCGGCAUGCCUUACACAUGCAAGUCGAACGGUAACAGGUUAAGCUGACGAGUGGCGAACGGGUGAGUAAUAUAUCGGAACGUGCCCAGUCGUGGGGGAUAACUGCUCGAGAGAGCAGCUAAUACCGCAUACGACCUGAGGGUGAAAGCGGGGGAUCGCAAGACCUCGCGCGAUUGGAGCGGCCGAUAUCAGAUUAGGUAGUUGGUGGGGUAAAGGCUCACCAAGCCAACGAUCUGUAGCUGGUCUGAGAGGACGACCAGCCACACUGGGACUGAGACACGGCCCAGACUCCUACGGGAGGCAGCAGUGGGGAAUUUUGGACAAUGGGCGCAAGCCUGAUCCAGCCAUGCCGCGUGCGGGAAGAAGGCCUUCGGGUUGUAAACCGCUUUUGUCAGGGAAGAAAAGGUUCUGGUUAAUACCUGGGACUCAUGACGGUACCUGAAGAAUAAGCACCGGCUAACUACGUGCCAGCAGCCGCCGUAAAAC
rnacentral:rRNA from 1 species